rnacentral:rRNA from 1 species
AGCGAACGCUGGCGGCAGGCCUAACACAUGCAAGUCGAGCGCCCCGCAAGGGGAGCGGCAGACGGGAGAGUAACACGUGGGAACAUGCCCUUCAGUACGGAACAACCAAGGGAAACUUUGGCUAAUACCGUAUACGUCCGUAAGGAGAAAGAUUUAUCGCUGAAGGAUUGGCCCGCGUCUGAUUAGCUAGUUGGUGAGGUAAUGGCUCACCAAGGCGACGAUCAGUAGCUGGUCUGAGAGGAUGAUCAGCCUCACUGGGACUGAGACACGGCCCAGACUCCUACGGGAGGCAGCAGUGGGGAAUAUUGGACAAUGGGCGCAAGCCUGAUCCAGCCAUGCCGCGUGGAUGAUGAAGGCCCUAGGGUUGUAAAGUCCUUUCGGCGGGGAAGAUAAUGACGGUACCCGCAGAAGAAGCCCCGGCUAACUUCGUGCCAGCCGCCGCAGUAACAC